UGUCUUUUCUCCAAAGGAAGACAGCACUUUGAAAAUUCUUUCAAUGGAUUUUUUUUUUCCUUGAAAGAUCGUACUGGGGGAAAACGAAAACGAUACUUCUAUUAGUUACAUAGUCUCCAAUCCCACACUUGCACCCCCCGGUUUUAAGAUCGCUCUCCUAGGCAGGCUCAGGCGGGCGCACAGCAGCAGUGACAAAGCCGCGGCUGCCACCGCCCGGAGUGGGAGUCCCUCUUGCCAGCCCACCCCUUGACUCGUGAGAGCGUAAAAGUUUGUCUCUGCUCAAGCGUUCCGAGCGCCCCCAGGUAAAGGUGGAAGCUGUAUUGAAGAGUUGUGAAUCUCUGUGUUGCCAUCUACUGUAAGAAGAUGCUUCUGUGAUGAGAGUUGGGGAAUCUAAUGAUCUAAAGGUGGUCAUGGAUUUGCGUCGCAGGUUGCAGCAGAUGGGUGCCGUCAACAGGAACCCCAGACUUGGUCUCUGGCCACUGGUGUCUUCUAGUGUGGCGCUCUACUCUCCCACUGAGCUCUCCCUGUGCAAGCCGAGAAGCUUGGCUAGAAUUUGGCCUUUUCUUUUUAUGAUAAGCUGUCGUUGAGAAAGGAACUUUGACAAUAGAAGUAACCAACUACAGGUCCAUUUCUACUGUGGAAAGCAGCUGCAAACACAUCCCUAUGGAUGAAAAGAGAAGGGAGCACCAAUUGCUGCGAUGAAGUCUGUACCGUGGAUUCCAAAGGGAGCUGUGAAGGUUCUUCUCAGAGUCGUCAGUGUGUAAAUACUGUGUUCCCAAGGUCUUCCUACAGUCAUACUAGCAUCUGGGACUCAAUGCGCAGAACUUGGCAGUUUUGAACAACUACUUGUGAUUGAAAAAUGAUCAACAAAUUUAAGGUCCCAAAGCGUGGUUUUGGUACCAAAAAGCCGAUGUCUUGCCGCUUGCCCCUCUCUUUCCGCGCUCCACACCUGAAUGUUGGACCCCCAAAUUGUUCCGUGAAUUUUUUAAUCAAAAUAAAGAAAAAACUUAGUAUACCCUAUUUGGAGCUAGUGUGGGAUUAUUUGAUUCGCAUCUCCCACCACCUGACGUGUUCCACUUCAGUAACUAAUUUUCUUAAUAGAUAUUAGGUUUUAAAGAUUGUAUAGACCGUAACACUAUUGUCUUUCUGAAUAAGCUCUCCAAAUGCUUAGGUAUUAAUCAAUUCAAGUUGGAAAAGGACAUUUCUGUUUGAAAAUUAUAAAAGGGAAGUUAAAGGACAUACCAUUUUUUAAAAAUCACAUUUAAAGUUUCAUUUGCUUUAAAGUUGUCAUCCUGAUAUCAUGCAGUCUUGAUUAAAUGACUAUUAUGUCUAGAAUUACUAAAAUGACACAGUUUUGCAUGAUCCAAUAGCUUUACAUUUAAAAACCACCAUUUUAUCACAUUAUUCUAUCAAUAUGUGAAGGUUUACAUUGGCUUUGUAUUUUAUCUCUAUUAUAAUUGAACAAGUGUAUAUUAAUUAAUGGUUAAAUAUUCUUUUUAGCAUCUGGUUAUGUUAUAAUCUUGACUGGAGAAAGAAUGUACAGUAAUGAGAUUAAAAGGAGGCUUAAUGUUAAGUUAUAUUACAUUAAAUGACUUAUGUACUUUAGAAUAUAUAGAAGUAACUUAAUGAGAUAUACAGAACUGAAAUGGAAUUUUCUGAACUACAUAUUCACCAAUUAAUUUAAAAAUGAAUGGGGAAAUGGUUUAAAAAUGAGAUUUUCCUUACUUAAGCAAAAAAAUACUAAGAUUUAAUUUUGUAGGAAGAUAUUAUAUACUUUGGGCAUUCUACUUUUAUAUUCUUUAGCCUAGUUUAUAGCUAAAAAACUUUAAAGUAAAUAUGUGUUCUAAUUUUAGCUGUUAAGAAACAGUGAUUUAAAUUGACAAUAAAAGGUAUAAUGAAAUACGACACUAAGAGGAAAAAUUGGAGGAUCUUACUGGGUCUGUUAUUCAUUCAAUUUCUGGCAGUCUUUAUGAUUACAGAUCACCUGACUGGCUAACUAGACAUUCUUAGAAUGAAUUAUGUCUCAGAUUCAUUUUACUUGAUCAAUUGUUGGUAUAUGCUAUAGCUCUACUUUGUGAUAUAUCAAAUUUUCUAACAGAAUAAGAUGUACAAUCAACUCUUUAUUUCAGAAAAAGUAAAUUGACUUAAAAAAUGAAGCACUGUUUCGAACAAUUUUAACAACAGUAUAAUUUCUGCUUUUGUAUUUCAAAGUGGAUUUAUGAUGGUGAAUUUAUCUUUUCAGAUCAAAAAAUUAUUAGGAUGAUUUAUUAAUAUUCAUACAAUUUCUAUAAAAUGAUGUCAGUUCUAUAGGCCGUUUGGGCAGUUGCCUAAACUCAGGCU